rnacentral:rRNA from 1 species
GUGAGGAAUAUUGCGCAAUGGAGGCAACUCUGACGCAGCCAUGCCGCGUGCAGGAAGAAGGCGCUACGCGUUGUAAACUGCUUUUAACCGGGAAGAAACCCCAGGACGUGUCCUGGGUUGACGGUACCGGAGGAAUAAGCACCGGCUAACUUCGUGCCAGCAGCCGCGGUAAUACGAAGGGUGCAAGCGUUAUCCGGAUUCAUUGGGUUUAAAGGGUGCGUAGGCGGAGCGUUAAGUCAGUGGUGAAAUCCUGCAGCUUAACUGUAGACUUGCCAUUGAUACUGGCGCUCUUGAGUGCGCUUGAAGUGGGCGGAAUGUGCCGUGUAGCGGUGAAAUGCUUAGAUAUGGCACAGAACACCAAUUGCGAAGGCAGCUCACUAAGGCGAUACUGACACUGAGGCACGAAAGCGUGGGGAUCGAACAGGAUUAGAUACCCCAGUAGUCC